rnacentral:sRNA from 1 species
UUAAAGAGCAAGAAAUCAAACUUGCAAGAGCAUUAAAGAAAAUGCAAAGGAAAAAAAAUGCAAAUAGAUCAAUGAAUAAUGAAAAUAUAGCAUGACAAAGAAGAGAUAAGAAAACGCAGCAGCAAAACAAGAAUAUGAAAAGGCAAAAACUAAAUGUAAUAUAUAAUAAUAUAUGCAAAAGGAUAAGCACAGAAAGUAAGCACCGAGACCGAAUGCAAUUGGAAGUCAGCAACAGAAAGAAUACAUUCAGAGAAAGAGAGAAGACUAUUCAAUCAUUGUCUACCUCUCUCCUACCCCACCUUCUGCUAUAUAAGUAAUUUCAUUC